CUGUGCUUAUUUCAACAGCGCGAAAAAUGGGACAAUACAGAGAAGAUAGGCAUAGUCCCUACACGGGGACGACUGCAAUUCUGUGAAGCGUUCCGUAUUUUU
ensembl:snRNA U6 U6 spliceosomal RNA